rnacentral:rRNA from 1 species
GACGAACGCUGGCGGCGUGCUUAACACAUGCAAGUCGAACGCAGUGGCGAACGGGUGAGUAAUACGUGCGUAACCUGACCUCCUUUUUGGGAUAAGCCUUGGAAACGGUGUCUAAUACCGAAUAAAGGGGGAUGGGCUCGCGGCCUAUCAGCUUGUUGGUGGGGUGAUGGCCUCCCAAGGCGGUGACGGGUAGCCGGCCUGAGCGGGUGACCGGCGACAUUGUGACGUGGAUACGGCCCAGAAUGCUACGGGCUGCAGGAGUGGGGGAUAGUGAACAAGUGGCGAAAGCCUGAGGCAGCGACGCCGCGGGGGGGAUUGAGGCUUUCGGGUUGUAAACCUCUGUCGCUAGCGAAAGGGUAGGUGGAGAAGAAGCGCCGGCUAACUACGUGCCAGCAGCCGGGGUAAUUC